UACGGGGGGGGCAAGCGUUGUUCGGAAUUACUGGGCGUAAAGGGCGCGUAGGCGGUUGGAUAAGUCAGCUGUGAAAACCACGGGCUUAACUCGUGGCCUGCAGUUGAGACUGUCUGGCUUACUAGAGUGCGGUAGAGGGGUGUGGAAUUCCCGGUGUAGCAGUGAAAUGCGUAGAUAUCGGGAGGAACAUCUGUGGCGAAGGCGACACCCUGGACCAGCACUGACACUGAGGCACGAAAGCGUGGGGAGCAAACAGG
rnacentral:rRNA from 1 species